rnacentral:miRNA from 1 species
AAUACAAACCCCCAGUUAAAUCUGAAUUUCAGAGACAGAUUAUUUUUCUAGUGUAAGUAUGCCUCAUGCAAUAUUUAAGACAUACUUAUGCUAAAAAAAUAUUUCUUAUGUCUUUGAAAUUCAACUUUAACUGGGGGUCCUGUAUUUU